CCUACGGGAGUCUGCAGUGGGGAAUAUUGCGCAAUGGGCGAAAGCCUGACGCAGCGACGCCGCGUGAGGGAUGAAGGUCUUCGGAUCGUACACCUCUGUCAGCAGGGAAGAACGAUCAAUGUGCUAAUCAGCCGUGAAUUGACGGUACCUGCAUAGGAAGUCCCGGCUAACUACGUGCCAGCAGCCGCGGGAAUACGUAGGGGGCAAGCGUUGUUCGGAAUUAUUGGUCGUAAAGCGCUCGCAGGCGGUACUAUAAGUCUAAGGUGAAAUCCGUGGGCUCAACGGGGGAAUUGCAUCAGAAACUGGCGAACUUGAGUGUAGUAGAGGAGAGUGGAACUCCAGGUGUAGCGGUGGAAUCCGUAGAUAUAUGGAAGAACACCAGUGGCGAAGGCGACUCUCUGGUCUGUAACUGACGCUGAGGAGCGAAAGCAUGGGUAGCGAACAGGAUUAGAUACCCGAGUAGUC
rnacentral:rRNA from 1 species